rnacentral:rRNA from 1 species
GUCGUGAGGCAUGCUGGAGGUAUCAGAAGUGCGAAUGCUGACAUAAGUAACGAUAAAGCGGGUGAAAAGCCCGCUCGCCGGAAGACCAAGGGUUCCUGUCCAACGUUAAUCGGGGCAGGGUGAGUCGACCCCUAAGGCGAGGCCGAAAGGCGUAGUCGAUGGGAAACGGGUUAAUAUUCCCGUACUUGGUGUUACUGCGAAGGGGGGACGGAGAAGGCUAUGUUGGCCGGGCGACGGUUGUCCCGGUUUAAGCGUGUAGGUGUGUGUUCCAGGUAAAUCCGGUUCACUUUAACACUGAGGCGUGACGACGAGGCACUACGGUGCUGAAGCAACAAAUGCCCUGCUUCCAGGAAAAGCCUCUAAGCAUCAGGUAACAUCAAAUCGUACCCCAAACCGACACAGGUGGUCAGGUAGAGAAUACCAAGGCGCUUGAGAGAACUCGGGUGAAGGAACUAGGCAAAAUGGUGCCGUAACUUCGGGAGAAGGCACGCUGACACGUAGGUGAAGUGAUUUACUCAUGGAGCUGAAGUCAGUCGAAGAUACCAGCUGGCUGCAACUGUUUAUUAAAAACACAGCACUGUGCAAACACGAAAGUGGACGUAUACGGUGUGACGCCUGCCCGGUGCCGGAAGGUUAAUUGAUGGGGUCAGCGCAAGCGAAGCUCCUGAUCGAAGCCCCGGUAAACGGCGGCCGUAACUAUAACGGUCCUAAGGUAGCGAAAUUCCUUGUCGGGUAAGUUCCGACCUGCACGAAUGGCGUAAUGAUGGCCAGGCUGUCUCCACCCGAGACUCAGUGAAAUUGAACUCGCUGUGAAGAUGCAGUGUACCCGCGGCAAGACGGAAAGACCCCGUGAACCUUUACUAUAGCUUGACACUGAACAUUGAGCCUUGAUGUGUAGGAUAGGUGGGAGGCUUUGAAGUGUGGACGCCAGUCUGCAUGGAGCCGACCUUGAAAUACCACCCUUUAAUGUUUGAUGUUCUAACGUGGACCCGUAAUCCGGGUUGCGGACAGUGUCUGGUGGGUAGUUUGACUGGGGCGGUCUCCUCCUAAAGAGUAACGGAGGAGCACGAAGGUUGGCUAAUCCUGGUCGGACAUCAGGAGGUUAGUGCAAUGGCAUAAGCCAGCUUGACUGCGAGCGUGACGGCGCGAGCAGGUGCGAAAGCAGGUCAUAGUGAUCCGGUGGUUCUGAAUGGAAGGGCCAUCGCUCAACGGAUAAAAGGUACUCCGGGGAUAACAGGCUGAUACCGCCCAAGAGUUCAUAUCGACGGCGGUGUUUGGCACCUCGAUGUCGGCUCAUCACAUCCUGGGGCUGAAGUAGGUCCCAAGGGUAUGGCUGUUCGCCAUUUAAAGUGGUACGCGAGCUGGGUUUAGAACGUCGUGAGACAGUUCGGUCCCUAUCUGCCGUGGGCGCUGGAGAACUGAGGGGGGCUGCUCCUAGUACGAGAGGACCGGAGUGGACGCAUCACUGGUGUUCGGGUUGUCAUGCCAAUGGCACUGCCCGGUAGCUAAAUGCGGAAGAGAUAAGUGCUGAAAGCAUCUAAGCACGAAACUUGCCCCGAGAUGAGUUCUCCCUGAGACUUUAGGUCUCCUGAAGGAACGUUGAAGACGACGACGUUGAUAGGCCGGGUGUGUAAGCGCAGCGAUGCGUUGAGCUAACCGGUACUAAUGAACCGUGAGGCUUAACCUUACAACGCCGAAG